rnacentral:rRNA from 1 species
AUACGGAGGGUGCAAGCGUUAUCCGGAUUUAUUGGGUUUAAAGGGUGCGUAGGCGGAUCGGUCAGUCAGUGGUGAAAUCCCAUAGCUUAACUAUGGAACUGCCAUUGAUACUGCCAAUCUCGAGUAUAGUUGAAGUGGAUGGAAUGUAACAUGUAGCGGUGAAAUGCAUAGAUAUGUUACAGAACACCGAUUGCGAAGGCAGUUCACUAAACUAUUACUGACGCUGAGGCACGAAAGCGUGGGGAGCGAACAGGAUUAGAUACCCUAGUAGUCC